rnacentral:misc_RNA from 1 species
GAUGAAGAACGCAGCGAAAUGCGAUAAGUAAUGUGAAUUGCAGAAUUCAGUGAAUCAUCGAAUCUUUGAACGCACAUUGCGCCCGCCAGUAUUCUGGCGGGCAUGCCUGUUCGAGCGUCAUUUCAACCAUCAAGCCCCAGGCUUGUGUUGGGGGCCUGCAGCUGCUGCAGCCCCCUAAAAGCAGUGGCGGACUCGCUGUCAUACCGAGCGCAGUAGUUACAUCUCGCUCUGGGCAUGGCGGCGGGCACCUGCCGUAAAACACUCUUUCUAAGGUUGACCUCGGAUCAGGUAGGAAUACCCGCUGAACUUAAGCAUAUCAAAAGCGGAGGA